rnacentral:rRNA from 1 species
AGGACGAACGCUGGCGGCGUGCUUAACACAUGCAAGUCGAGCGGAAAGGCCCUUCGGGGUACUCGAGCGGCGAACGGGUGAGUAACACGUGAGCAACCUGCCCCUGGCUCUGGGAUAGCCUCCGGAAACGGGGAUUAAUACCGGACAUUCACUUCCUUCCGCAUGGUUGGUGGUGGAAAGUUUUUCGGCCGGGGAGGGGCUCGCGGUCUAUCAGCUUGUUGGCGGGGUAACGACCCACCAAGGCGACGACGGAUAG